rnacentral:rRNA from 1 species
GACGAACGCUGGCGGCGUGCUUAACACAUGCAAGUCGAACGGAAAGGCCCUGCUUUUGUGGGGUGCUCGAGUGGCGAACGGGUGAGUAACACGUGAGUAACCUGCCCUUGACUUUGGGAUAACUUCAGGAAACUGGGGCUAAUACCGGAUAGGAGCUCCUGCUGCAUGGUGGGGGUUGGAAAGUUUCGGCGGUUGGGGAUGGACUCGCGGCUUAUCAGCUUGUUGGUGGGGUAGUGGCUUACCAAGGCUUUGACGGGUAGCCGGCCUGAGAGGGUGACCGGCAACUGGGGGCAGGGGCGCGGCCCAGCACGCCGGGGGGAGCAGGAGGGGGGAAUUUUGGAAGAGGGGGGGGAGGCUGGACGCGGACACCCGCGGGGGGGAAGGCGGCCUGCGGGGUGUAAACCGCUUUCCGCCGGGAAGGAGGGGGGGGGGAGGUAAUGGGAAAAAAAGACCCGGCCAAACUAGGGC